AACAAACGCUGGCGGCGUGCCUAAUACAUGCAAGUCGAACGGGGUAGCAAUACCUAGUGGCGCACGGGUGAGGAACGCGUGGAUAAUCUGCCUUAGAGUGGGGGAUAACUAGUCGAAAGAUUAGCUAAUACCGCAUAAGACCACAGGAGCUGCGGCUCUAGGGGUCAAAGGUUUUUCGCUCUAAGAUGAGUCCGCGUAAGAUUAGCUAGUUGGUGAGGUAACGGCUCACCAAGGCGACGAUCUUUAACUGGUCUGAGAGGAUGAUCAGUCACACUGGAACUGAGACACGGUCCGGACUCCUACGGGAGGCAGCAGUAGGGAAUAUUGCACAAUGGAGGAAACUCUGAUGCAGCGACGCCGCGUGAGUGAUGAAGGCCUUCGGGUCGUAAAGCUCUGUCGCAGGGGAAUAACACAAUGAAGGUACCCUGUAAGAAAGGAUCGGCUAACUUCGUGCCAGCAGCCGCCGUAAGAC
rnacentral:rRNA from 1 species